AUUCAUCAGGAAGGUAAAAGAAAUAUCUCUAAAAUAAUAUUUAUCAGAUCAAGGUCCAAGCUAGUCGAUUUGUGAAUAUUUUACAUAAGUCUGACACUCCAAAUCCUAAGGUAAGAGAGUAUUGAACUACCCAAAGUCAUAUCUUAUAUAAAAUUUUGAUGAUCGAUUUGCUCAGAACAUUCUCAAGCACAUAUUAAGUAGUCUCUAAAACAUAACCUCAGGC
rnacentral:lncRNA from 1 species